AUGAUUACAUCACCUCCCACCAGGCCCCACCUCCAACAUUAAGGAGUACAUUCCACAGGAGUUUUGGUAAAGAAACACAGCCAAACCAUAUUAUUCUGACCCUGGUACCCCAGAAUCUCAUGUCCUUCUCACAGAGCAAAAUACAUUCAUGCCUUGUCAAAAGUUUCCAAAAGUCUUAACUCAUUCCAGCAUUAACUCAAAUGUAAAAAGUUCAACAUCUCAUCUGAGACAAGUCUACAGUCCCUUGCACCUAUGAGUCCCUGAAUUUAAAAGGAUGUUCUUUUCUUUCAGGGUACAAUGAUGGUACAGGCAUUGGGUAAGCUUUCUCAAUUCAAAGGGAAGAAAUUUCCCAGGAAAAAACCACAAAUAGAACCACACACCCAAUGCAAGUCCAAAACCCAGGAGGCCAGUAUCCAUUCAAUCUCACAGCUCCAAAAUCACGAAGAGAACUCACUAGCAUAAGCACAGCAAUAAGGAGAUGGUGUUUAAUCAUUUGUGAAGGAUCCACCUCCCACCACCACUUUUCACCCCUCACCCCCACCAUAAUCCCCUCAUUCUCCCUACCCCCCACCUUCCAACCCACACUCUCCACCAUGAUUAAAUCACCCUCCACCAGGCCCCACCUUUAACUUUAUUAUUCUGUCCCUGGCUCCCAAAUCUCAUGUCCUUCUCACAUUGCAAAAUACAAUGAUGCCUUCCCUACAGUCCCCCCAAAUCUUGUAUCAUUCCAGCAUUUAUACAAAUGUCCAAAGCUUAAAGUCUCAUCUGACACAAGGCUAUACAGUCCCUUAGGCACAUAAGCCUCUGAACUAUAAAGCAAGUUAACUGCUGCCAAGCUACAAUGCUUGUGCAGGCAAUGGGUAAGCAUUCUCAACUGAAAGGAAAAAUUUUGCCAGAAAGAGCAAAACACAUAGAGGACUUACAGGCCCCAUGAAACUCCAAACCCAGAAGGCCAGUCAUUCAAUCCUACAGUUCCAAAAUCACCCUUUUUGAAACGUUGUCCCACAUCCAGGGCACAGGGACAUGAGGGCUGGGCUCUGAAGGCCUUGGGCAGCCCUGCACCUGUGGCUUUGCAGGGUUUAUGCCCCACAGCUGCCCCCAUGGACUGGGCGGGUGUUGAGUGCCUACAGCUUUUCCUGACUGAUGGUACAAGCUGUUGGUGGGUCUAUGAAUCUGGGGUCUGCAUGACGGUGGCCUCCAGUGUGGGGGCUCCAACCCCAUAUUUUCCUUCUGCACUGCCCUAGUAGAAGUUUCUUAUGAGGCUCUGCAUUUUUGGGAUGCUUUUGUCUGGUCACCCAGGCAUUUCCAUACAUCUUCCAAAGUCUACAAAAAGGCUCCCAAGCCUCUAGUCUCAUGAUCCAUCCACCUAGUGGCUUAACACUAUGAGGAAGUUACCAAGGCUUCUAGCUUGCACCCUCUGAAGCAGUGACCCAAGCUGCAUCUGUGCAUUUUCAGCCAUGGCUGGAGCUGGAGCUGCAGGGACGCAGGCAGCAGUGCCCUGAGGCUGCACAUAGAGCGGGGUCACAGGACUGGCCCAGGAAACCAUGCUUCUCUCCUAGGGCCCAGGGCCUGUGAUAGCAAGGGCUGCUGCAAAGGUCUCCGAAAUGCCGUCAAGGGCUUUUCCCUAUUGUCUUGGCUAUUAGCACUGGGCUCCUUUUCAUGCAAGUUUCUGAAGCCUUCCUGAAUUUUCCCCCUGAAAAUCAGCUUUUCUUUUUGACCACUUGGCCAGGCUGCAAAUUUUCCAAACUUUUGAGUCCUGUUUCUCAUUUAACAUAAGAGUUGGGACUCAUUUAAUAUAAGUCCCAUCCAGAGGUCAUUUUCUCAGUCACACAUCAGAGCACAGGCUGUUCAAUGCAGACAGGACACCUCUUGAGCUUUGCUUCCUAGAAGUUCAUUCCACCAGAUAUGCACUGCAUCAUCAACCUCAAGUUUAAAGUUUCACAGAUCUCCAGGGCAGGGUCACCAUGCAGCCAUGUUCUUUGCUACAGCAAAAUAAAAGUAACCUUGGCUUCUGUUCCCAGGAAGUUCCUCAUUUUUAUCUGAGACCUUCCAAGUCUGGUUUUCACUGGCCAUUUUCCUGUCAGCCUUCUGAUCACAAGUAGUUAACAAUUCUUUACAAAGAUCCAAACUUUUCUUCAUUUUCCUGUCUUCGAAGCCCUCCAAACUCUCCUGAUCUCUGUCUGCCACCCCCUUCUGAACCUGCUUCUACAUUAUCAGCUAUCUUUGUCACAGCCUGGCAAUGUGGUAAAGGAAGACAAGUCCAUUUUCAGGGAGAAAAUUCAAGAAGCCCUCAGAUACUUGAAUGAAAAGAAGCUGAGUACUGACUCCCAAGACAAUAGGGAAAAGGCCUUGAAGACAUUUCAUACAUCCACUUCCCAGUACUAAUUUUCUCUAUGAUCAUAAAGAACCUCAUGAUUCUGCAGGCUGUAAGGAAACAUACUGGCUUCUGAAUCUGGGAGGACUCAGGAAGCCUCCCAAUCAUACCAGAAUGUCAAGGGGCAAUGAGAUGAUUCACGUGGCAGGAGUAGGAGAAAGACAGAGAGAGGAAAGAGGUGCCAUGCCCUAUUAUACAAGCAGAUCUCAUGAGAACUCACAAGGUCAGCAUCAAAAAGAUGGUGUUUAACCAUUGGUGAAGGAUUUGCCCCCCACCCCCAACUCCCACUGUUUCCAGGCAGAAGCCUGAUGCAGAGGCAGAUCCUCUUGGAAAACCUCUACUAGGGAAAUGUGGAAGGAAAAUAUGGGCUUGGAGCCCCCACGCAGAUGGCCACCAACCUCCAGACCCCAGAUCCAUAGACCCACCAACAGCUCACAGCCUCAGUUUGAAAAAGGUAUGGGUAGUCAACACCAGCCCACCCCAUGAGAGCAGCCACAGGGGCUAAACCCUGUAAAGUCACAGGUGCACCGCCCUAGUAGAGGUUUUCCAUGAGGCUCUGCCUCUGCAGGAGGCUACUCCCACAUCCUACCACCCACCACCCUCUCACCAGCUUACUGCCAACCUACUCCUCCCCACCCUACCCACUUCUUUUUCCUUCUACCCGCAACCCCCUCCCAUCCAUGAUUCAAUCACCUCCCACCAGGCCCCACCUCCAACGUUCAGGAAUACAAUUUCCCAUGAUCUUUUGUAGGAAAACACCACCAAACCAUAUUACUCUGACCCUGACACCCCUGAAUCUCAUGUCCUUCUCACAGAGUAAAAUACAAACAAGCCUUUUCAGAAGUUUCCAAAAGUCUUAACUCAUUCCAGCAGUAACUCAAAUAUAAAAAAGAUUAAAGUCUCAAACAACACGAGGCUGCAGUCCCUUCUGCUUCUGAGUCCCUGAAUGUAAAAGGGAGUGCUUCUCUUUCACGAUACAAUGAUGGUACAGGCAUUGGGUAAGCUUUCUCAGUCCAAUGGGAAGAAAUUUUCCAGAAAAAUAACACAAUUGGGACACAGGUCCAAUGCAAGCCCAAAAGCCAGGAGAGUAUGUACGCAUUCAUCACGAGAACUCACUUUCACACAGACAGCAUUAAGGAGAUACUGUUUAACCAUUUGUGAAAGAUCUGCCCCCCCAGCCCCAUCUUUCACCCCCACCCCCAGCAUAAACCCCCCAAACUUACCACACCCUCACUUCCAAUCCCAACUGUCCGCUGUGAUUAAAUCACCAUCUACCAAGCACCACUUUUAACAUUCCCCAUCACAAUUCUACAUGAGUUUUGGUUGGGGCACAGAGACAAAUCAUAUAGUUCUGCCCCUGGCCUUCCAAAUCUCAUGUUACUUUCACUUUGCAAAAUACAGUGAUGUCUUCUCUACAGUCCCCCGAAGUCUUAACUCAUUCCAGCAUUUACUCAAAUGUCCAAAGCCCAAAGUCUCAUCUGAGACAAGGCUGCAGUCCCUUCUAUCCCUGAGCCUCUGAAAUACAAAGCAAGUUAACUACUUUCAAGGUACAAUGCUUGUCCAGGCAUUGGGUAAGCAGUCCCAGCCAAAAGGAAGAAAUUUGCCAGAAAGAAGCACAAAACACAGAUGGGACUUACAGACCCCAUGCAAGUCAAAAACCCAGCAGGCCAGUCAUUCCAUCGUAGAGCUCCAAGUCAUAUUUUUUGAAUCUACAUCCCACAUCCAGAGAAGAGGGUGGUUUAAUGGCUGGUCUCCCAAAGCCUUGGGCAGCUCAGCACCUGUGGUAUGGCAAGGUCUUUCCCCAAAGCUGCCCUCAUGGGCUGGGCUGCUGUUGAGUGCCAGUAGCUUUUCAACACUAAGGGUGCAAGCUGUUGGUGGGUCUAUGAAUCUGGGGUCUGGAGAAUGGUGCCUCCCAGUGUGGGGGCUCCCACCGUAUAUGUUCCUUCUAUACCAUCCUUGUAGAGGUUUACCACGAGGCUCUGUCUGUUGGAAAAGCUUCACCUGGAAACCCAGGAUUUUCCAUACAUACUCUGGAGUCUAGAAGAUGAAGACUCCGAAGUUUCUCGUCUUGUGCUCUGUGUACCUGCUGACUUAACACUAUGUGGAAGCCACCAAGGCUUGGAGCUUGCACCCCUGAAGUAGUGACCCAAGCUGUACCUGUGCAUCUUUCAGCCAUGGCUGCAGCAGGAGCUACAGGGAUGUAGGCAGCAUUGUCCUGAGGCUACACACAGCAGGGGACCAUGGGGCUGGGCCAGGAAACCAUUCUGUCCUAGAAAACCAUUCUUCUGUCCUAGGCUUCAGGGCCUGUACAGCAAGGGCUGCUGCAAAGGUCUCUGAAAUGCCUUCAAG
rnacentral:lncRNA from 1 species